AACAUCAAUCGCAGAUUCAUCCUUCGCUAAAGAAUAAUUUAAUCUUGUCAAUAUUAAGUUAGUUUGAAGGUUCACCAAUGAAUGCAAGCGUAGACCAACCAAUUAAGUUUGGAGCACGUUUCUGGGCGCCCGAUGUUGACAAACUCCGUGGAACAUUGGGAAUCAGUUGUGACUAUAAAU
rnacentral:snoRNA from 1 species